rnacentral:rRNA from 1 species
GACUCCUACGGGAGGCAGCAGUGAGGAAUAUUGGUCAAUGGGCGAGAGCCUGAACCAGCCAAGUCGCGUGAAGGAAGAAGGAUCUAUGGUUCGUAAACUUCUUUUGCAGGGGAAUAAAGUGCAGGAACGUGUGCCUGUUUUGUAUGUACCUCGAAUGGGUACU